rnacentral:rRNA from 1 species
CAAGGAAUUUUCCACAAUGGGCGCAAGCCUGAUGGAGCAACGCCGCGUGGGGGAUGACGCACUUCGGUGUGUAAACCCCUUUUCGAGGGGACGAAGGCAAUGACGGUACCCUCGGAAGAAGGAUCGGCUAACUACGUGCCAGCAGCCGCGGUAAGACGUAGGAUCCGAGCGUUGUCCGGAGUUACUGGGCGUAAAGCGCGCGCAGGCGGGCACGCGCAUCGGCGGUGAAAGCCCCCCGCUCAACGGGGGAGGGUCCGUCGAGAUGGCGUGUCUGGAGGCAGGGAGAGGCCAGUGGAAUUCCGGGUGUAGUGGUGAAAUGCGUAGAGAUCCGGAGGAACACCAGUGGCGAAGGCGGCUGGCUGGACCUGACCUGACGCUGAGGCGCGAAGGCGUGGGGAGCGAACGGGAUUAGAUACCCCGGUAGUCCACGCAGUAAACGAUGAGUACUAGGUGUGGCGGGAGUUGACCCCUGCCGUGCCGGCGCUAACGCAGUAAGUACCCCG